AAAAAUUUAUCAAAUACCAAAUUAAAUUUUAACUUGUUAAAAGUACUUUUGAAACUCUCAAAAACAAUCUCAAACCAACCGGGUCAUACAACUGGGACGGGUUCAGUUCCGGUUUUAGAUCAAACUCCACCGGUCCGUUAUCAUCACGUCGUACACACGUGCCUCCCUGGUAUACGCUCGGGCACAUCACGUGACUCACGACACGUGUGCAUUCGCUAGUGUCAGUUACGAAAGUAUGAUACCACUCCCUGAUAACUCUGCCAUUCUACUACGAAGCUGACAAAAAACGACAGGGAGCAGGUUGGAAGGGCGCAUGUGGGACCCACCGGCACCAAAAGAAAAGAAAAUAAAAAACGGAUAGCGCACUGGUCCACACGUCCGAACAAAAUGCCACUAUAUCUCCACUUAAUUACUGUUUUUGCCUUACUCGAUUAGAGGGGCCAUUAUUUGUGUCUUUUUAUUUGUCUUUGGAUGAAAAAAAAGGGUAAAAGUUUGUUUAGUCCCUAU
rnacentral:lncRNA from 1 species